rnacentral:tRNA from 1 species
GGGGUUGUGGCUCAGUGGUACAGCACUCGUCUAGCAUGUGCGAGGCCCUGGGUUCGAUCCUCAGCACCACA